rnacentral:lncRNA from 1 species
UUUCAUUUAAGAUCUUUUUCUCAAAACACAACAAUAUAUUAUUUCUCUCUUAAAAUCUUUUUCUUCUCUGUCUUGAAGGGGUAGGCUUUUAUAUAUAACUUUAGUUAAAAAAGAACGAUCCAUCUCGAAUGAUCAUUCAGAAAACUCUUUUUAUAUUUUUUUAAUAAGAUUAAGUUAUCAAUUGUGUGAGUUAAAAAAAGUAUAUACACACAAUGAUGUAUCUAAGAGACGCUUACAAUAAUUGUUAAUUUAUAAAUCAUUUCUUACAAAAUUUGUAAGUACUAAAAACUAUUAAACUGAAGUUAGAGAUCAAUUAAUUUUAUUUAUAUUAUAUACGAAAGAAGAAAAAUAUGGUUAAAAUUCUCAAAUUCAUUAAUGUUUUGGUCAUCUUUCUUUUUCUAGUUGUUCUUGUAACCAGCAAACCUCGUAAGCUCUUUCAUCACCUAUUUAAAAUUAUAAUUAGAUCCUUUAUCAUAUACUAUACAUAAUCAUUUCAUCUAUUUUUAAUAAUUUUUUUCUUUUUCAUUUUAUAGAAAUGGAAGAUCGCAUGUUCUGCUAUAGUCACAAACAUUGUCAAUACAAUAUAUGUUACUCAACUUUAGUUUCAAGGUGUCGUAUGUUUCUGUGUUGGUGCGAGAAAGUGUAACAAUUAAUUGAAAAACAACAAUAAUAUAAAUAAAUAAACUUCUUGAAAAACAACAACAAUAUAAAUAAAAGCAUAUAAACUUCUUGUAAGUUAUGAAGUCGGUACUUAAUUAAAGAAUAAAUUUAUUCAAUGCUAGUGUGUUGUUGUUGUUCGGAUUGGACAUCUAUAUGUAUUGUUCGUGUUACACAAAUUAUUUAUUAAGAAUAUAUACAUUUUACUUUGAAUUAGUAAAAGAAUAAGAUUCAUUUUAGAACCCUUAAUUUAUUUGGUUCAAAAACACAAUCGUCUAUGGAUUUUGGCCCUUCUUAAUUAAUCCGAAUACCUACCAAAUCGAUUGAUUAGGUUAAGUUAAAAAAAAGGAAAAUGUCAAUAUAUUGUGUCACUUAAUCAAAUAUCAAGCCUACCUAAUCGAUUAUGAGAGGAUACUCUAGCUUUAAUUGAUUAGAAGAAAGGGUAUAAUAGGUUAAAGAAUUGAGUUUUGUUCUCAUAAUUAAUUAGAAGACUUCUUAAUUGAUUAGGUAUUUGUUCAUAUUGACUUUUGAUGAGAGACCCUCAUUGCAUAUAAUUAAGCGAAGAAUCGAUGAAAAACGAGCUAAUGAAGAAGAAAGACCCAAGAAUGAGUGAAAAAUAACUAAAUAUGGAAGAUGAGACUUAGUGAUAAUUCUGGUCAAAAAUGGUUUUGACGCAACUACUAGAAUGAUCAUGCACGCCAUCGCGUGCGCGAUAUGGAUGUUUAGGUUAUAUCGCAUGCGCGAUGCUUGUAUAAUGCGAGCGAUGGACACUUUUCUGGGCUUUUUCUGACGCAUUUUGAUCCAUUCUGAGUGCUUUUUAAGGAGAUUUUCAGCAGUUUGACAAGGGUUACGAAUUCUUUCGCUGGAAGCAAAAUUUUGCAGCAUUAAAUGGUGAUUUUAAGAGCAUUAGAAGCCAUUGGAGGCCAAUCCUUCAAGAGAAUUCAUAUGUUAUUCUUCUUUAUUCAAUUGAUAUUGUAAUUUUCAAUAUGAGUAGCUAAAGCUCCUCUAAGUUAGGUUGUGUGAUGAUGAACCUUAUUCAAUCUUGUAGGCAAUAUAUGUUGGUUAGACUUUGUAUGAAUCCUUUGAAUUAUAAUUUUAUUCAGUUGUUUCUUAUUCUUAAUGCUUUUUAUUUGAGAUACUCUGUUAAUCUGA